rnacentral:rRNA from 1 species
UACGGAGGGUGCAAGCGUUAUCCGGAUUCACUGGGUUUAAAGGGUGCGUAGGUGGGUUGAUAAGUCAGUGGUGAAAUCCCCGAGCUUAACUUGGGAACUGCCAUUGAUACUAUUGAUCUUGAAUACCGUGGAGGUCAGCGGAAUAUGUCAUGUAGCGGUGAAAUGCUUAGAUAUGACAUAGAACACCAAUUGCGAAGGCAGCUGGCUACGCGAAUAUUGACACUGAUGCACGAAAAGCGUGGGGAUCAAACAGG